CAUCAUUGACAUACUAUAGUUUUAUGCCAAUUUGCUGGAAGAUAACAGCCCAAUUAAAAUAAUAUUUCUGAGCUGACCAGGAGAGAGAAACAGAGUAAAAUGGCCACUUUGCUCUCUGGCCCACUUGUCAGAUUCUUCCUCCUCCCUCCCCUUUCUCUUCUUCCUUCGAAUCCUACGCCCUGCCUUUCUUCCGGCGCCCCAUGCUCCGACCCGACCCUGUUCGUGUGGCACCGCUAGCACCCACCAGCCCGUCCUGCCUGCAUCCCUACUGAGCAGCCUCGCACCCCUCCCGUCCAGCAGCACCGCGCCAGCGCUGCGCCUACUAUGCUGCCGGCCGACCUACGGCCGACCUACCUAACCACGAUUGGCCGCAUCCCAUCCGUGCGUGCAAGAUUGUUGCUGGACGAAGCCCAGCAAAGGUGGAGCACUAAUUGAGCUCGAGUAGCACGACCCCAAGUUGGAUUAAGCUUCUCCGCUCUCAAAUCUUGAGCUCCUGAUCUUGGAUUUAGUCCACUCUAAUUGCCUCGCUGCUAUUCCUGGUGAAUGGUGAUGUUGCUCUGUCUCUCUCCAUCAAAGAUAGCAUCCUCCACGCCUCCUCCACCUGGUGAAUGGUGAUGUUGCUCUCUCUCUCUCUCCAUCAAAGAUAGCAUCCUCCACGCCUCCAUCUGAUAGAGGGAAAAAAAGAUAUGGAAGGGAGGAAGAAGAGUCUGACCAGGGGGGUUAAGGGUAAAAAUGAUAUUGCAUCAUCCUUCUCUUACCUUCUUAGCCUAUAAAUAUUAUUUUAUUUGAGACAGUGUCUUUCAGCAAAUUAGUGCAAAACACAAAACGUGAUCAAUGAUGUCCAUCAGCAAAUCAUCAUCCCGUAGCAAAUUUUGCCUUCUAGAGCAACUCCAAGAGGCCGCUAAUCUUACCCCAAUACUUUUUUUAGAGAAAAAAGGAGAAAAAACGAACUCCAACAGUCCACCCAAAUCUUCCCCAAUUUUUUAGCAACGCUAAAAAACAUCCCUUCACCCCGCAUAUUUUAGCGACGUGCGGCCUUCCCCCAAUCCCCCCGACCUCCAUUCCCGCGCCCCCUUUGCACGCUCCUCUCCCGGUAUUGGUUCCAGUGGCGGCAGCGCUGCUCUCCCGGCGGCGCCCUCCUCUCCCAAAGGCGGCGCUCCUCUCCCGGUGGUGUCCCGGUGGCGGCCCUCCUCUCCCGGCGUAUAUGAAUAAAUAAGGUGUGAGACUCCGGCCGGUGUCCCGCAGCAGAGAACCAAGCUGAGCAUAAAUUGGACGCCUCAAGGUCAGAUCCAUUGAGCCGUGGAUGCGUAAUGGAAUCAUUGCAUUGCAUGCGAUGGAAGGAAAAUUGCAGGCAAGGUAGCGGCGGCGAGCUUGCAGGCAAGAAAAGGAUUCGCGUCGACCUGGAGCUCGAAGCGGAGGAAUUGCUAUACGCAGUGGAGGAAUUUCUGUGCACAUCGAUGGAGAUGCUUCGGUGGACAAGAAGUAGAGGAAGAUAAAGGGGAAGAUAGAUGGACUCGUCCUCGAUCGAGUCCAAGAACACAAGGCAGAUCUGGAACUCGACACCGGCGAGGGUCUUCUGGUCACGGUGGUGGGAAAAAAAGCACGGAUCCUAAUGAGUCCAAUACGAUGACGUGGCCUGUUUUGAAUUAUUGGGGGUAAUUUUUAGCGAUCUGCUGUGGGCUGAUAUAUUUGUAGGGGAAAUUUUUUUUAGCAUAGCCCCCAAUACCUCGUUUUGGGGGAGAAUUUUUUAGCAUACUCUUGGAGUUGCUUAAGUAUAUCAAUCUCUCAAACUACGUACUAUUAAAUUCCACGAGUUUUUGGCA